GAGGUCUUAGCUUAAUUAAAGUAUCUGGGUUGCAUUCAGGUGAUGUAGGGUAAAGUCCUGCAGGUCUUA
rnacentral:tRNA from 1 species